AUUGAACGCUGGCGGCAGGCCUAACACAUGCAAGUCGAGCGGAGCGGCGGACGGGUGAGUAAUGCCUAGGAAUCUGCCUGGUAGUGGGGGAUAACGUCCGGAAACGGGCGCUAAUACCGCAUACUAUCAGAUGAGCCUAGGUCGGAUUAGCUAGUUGGUGGGGUAAAGGCCUACCAAGGCGACGAUCCGUAACUGGUCUGAGAGGAUGAUCAGUCACCCUGGAACUGAGACACGGUCCAGACUCCUACGGGAGGCAGCAGGGGGGAAUUUUGGACAAUGGGCGAAAGCCUGAUCCAGCCAUGCCGCGUGGGUUAAGAAGGUUUUUGGAUUGUAAAGCACUUUAAGUUGGGAGGCGUUACCCGCAGAAGAAGCACCGGCUAACUCCGUGCCAGCAGCCGCGGUAAUAC
rnacentral:rRNA from 1 species